GGAUCCCCGAUUUGUUUUCUUUGCUGUUGUUCUUCCAGCCGUGAGUACCACCAUGUGUCAGUAGAUCGAAUUGCUAGUUUGCUGCAACUUGAGAGUUGUACCGUUGGUAGCUGCGGGAGUGGUUUGGACAUGUUGUUGAUCUGAAGCAAGACCUGAUUCCUGCUCACUUAAUCUGCCCCUUUUUGUUUGAUAAUAUGGCGUAGUAUUACGAAGAUUACUAGUUGGAUCCGUAUACCACUGAGCAGCAAAAAGAUUAUACAUUGCUUUGUUUUAUUUUCUAAUUCGUUGCUCAGAUCGAUGGUUAGAUGGACAUGGUACUUUAGCUCCGGAAUUCUAAGCUUGCAAGUUUCUGAAUUCUAGGUCUGCACCGGUAUCAUGAGUUAAUCAGAUGCGUGUCACCAGCUAUAGUGAUGAUAUUGCCAUCAUUUUCCUGUACAGAGAGCAGUGCCUGCUACAAUCAAACUAUAGUUGCAUUAUUCUGUGCCAAUCAGUUUACAAAAAAAAAAUUGUCCUCUCAAACUAAUGUGUUGUCUUAUUUUCUCACUUUGGCUGGUACAGUGAUACCCAUCUAAUUGCAGUCGAGGGGAUAUGUGAUAACUUGAAACUGAGCACAGAACGUUCUUUCUUGGUUUGCAUUUGGUGUAACCCCCCUUGAUUGUUCUUUUUCCUCUGUCUUAUAAUCCUCUGAUUGUCAAUCCAGUCAUAUAUUGAUGAUGUAUUGAUCAUUGUUUAUCAGAAGUUUUCUACACAUUGCUGCUGGAUAGAGCAUCUAUUGCAACUACAAUUGGCGAUAUCUACACAGAUCUAUACAUAAAAGAUAAUAGGAAGUAAGCUUCUAUAGUGUGACGUAGAGGUAUUGGCCAUACACCAUGAAUGAUAGAGGUUGUGCAGCUGAUAUUCAUAGUUUAAUUACUUUUUCCUCCAAAGAGAUACAUAUUUUUAGCUAUAAUGUGUUACCUUGCUGACAGUACAUCGAUAUAUUCUCCAAUCUGGUUCAACUAUGCCUAUACUCUUUAGUUUUAUGUUGAUGUUUACACUCUCUUUCUUCUGGUCUGGAGUCUUGUAUUUUUUUUUUCUGAGGUGUGUACUUCACUUUUAUGUUGUAUACACAGGUAUUUUCAGAUAAAUAAAAGCAAGAACAUUAGAGAGCAUGCUGGGCCCUGAAUUUGGAGAAUCUAGGCGUAUAUCUG
rnacentral:rRNA from 1 species